rnacentral:rRNA from 1 species
UACAGAGGUGGCAAGCGUUGUCCGGAAUCAUUGGGCGUAAAGCGCGUGUAGGCGGCCCGGUAAGUCCGCUGUGAAAGUCCAGGGCUCAACCCUGGGAUGCCGGUGGAUACUGUCGGGCUCGAGUCCGGAAGAGGCGAGUGGAAUUCCUGGUGUAGCGGUGAAAUGCGCAGAUAUCAGGAAGAACACCCGUGGCGAAGGCGGCUCUCUGGGACGGUACUGACGCUGAGACGCGAAAGCGUGGGAGCGAACAGG